UUCAAGACCAAGAGAGGGUAGAAAUUAACAAAAUAGUUCUGAAAUCUCUCAAUUUAAAAAUUUCUUAAAAUUAGAAUGAAUCUUUCCUAAAAAUCUUUUUUGAAGCUUAAAUCUGGAAUUCCAAUUCCAGAUGUUUUUUUUCAAUUUCCAUGUGCAUACAUAUUAUUUAAAACAUGUCAAACCAGAGCAUGGAUCAUGCCUAUUUAUAAUCAGCAAUGCCAGAAAGAAAGAAAAACAUUAUGAGGAAAUUUAUUCACACACAUAAGAUUCUCAGAGUAACUUGAACAGCCUGCAAAAUUCAAGAAUGCUAAGUGUAUUCAUUCAAAAGUUUCAAUGACUAAAAGUAGCUUACAGUUCAACAGUAUGUACCAUCUAUAUGGAAUAUCUCUUCCUAAACAUCUGGGAUAAUACCUAUACAAAUAAAAAGAUGAAAUUGUUAUCUUCUACUUCAUACAUGGAUUAACAGAAAGAUUUUUUGUAAAAUCUCAUUUUGAUUACAUCACUGAUAUGUUUGAAUUUCAGUUAUCUCCAAUAUCAAACUUAAACUCAUUAGUGGAAGCAAUGCAGUCCUUCUCUGCUCCCCUUCCCACCUUCUACUCACUAGCUUCUCAUUAACUCUAAUUCAGCAAGUUUUUAUUAAACAAUGAUAAUUUGCUAGACUCUGUGUGAAGUGCUACAGAAAAGGGAAGGAAAAGGAGUAGAUACUACCUCUGUAUUCUAGGAGUUACUAUUUAAUGAAGAAAAUCAAAACAUGUAUAACUAACUCAAGGCAGAAUGUGAUAAAUAACAGUCAAAUCACCCAAUAAGUCAUACGGGAGCUCAGAGGAUGGAGAGUGGCAUUCCCUUUGCGGGGAAAAACAAAAGUAUUUCAGCCUGCUGAGACUCUCUGUUGUAGCAGGUAAUUAUACUCAUGAUGUCCUGGCCAUUACUUUUCCGUUUUGUUUUUUUUUUUUUUUAAGACAGAGUCUCGCUCUUAACUCCCAGGCCGGAGUGCGAUGGCACAAUCUCCACCCACUGCAACCUCCACCUUCCAGGUUCAAGCGAUUCUCCUGCUUCAGCCUCCGGAAUAGCUGGGAUUACAGAAUUUAGCAGAAGGAGCUGCAGACAUUGGAUUCACACAACUAAAAACACAGAAGUUCCAGCUCUCUGACUUUAUGAUCCUGUCCUUCUGGCCUCUCAACAAGAGAGAUGAGAGGUGAAUGUUGCUGAAAUUUGAGGAUCUCCAUUUUGAAGGCAAUAAAGGGAGUCUCCAAAGUAAACCUGAACAGAGUUCUCUCUCCAUCUGUCAGAGGAAAAGCCCAAGAGCGUGUUUUGCCUACAGAAGGACAAGGCUCUCAGCUGGCUCCAGAAAGGCAUUCUGCCUGUGCAGAUAUGCAGGAUAAGGAAAAACAGCCUUUUUUUUUUUUUUUUUUUUUUUUUUUUUGGUUAAUGACAAUAAAAUGUGGGGUUUUUAAAAACGAAAAUGACAUUGCAGUUUUAAAUCCUUAGUUUUUACAUUACCUUUUCCAUCAAGCUCAAAAUGGUUUACAAUACACAUGCG
rnacentral:lncRNA from 1 species